UCCCCCCCCACUCCGAUGAAGAUGACGGGUGGAACUUAAGCAUAUCAGUACGCCCAGGAGAAGACACCAACCGGGAUUCCUUGAUUAGCGGCGAGCGAUCCAGGAGUAGUCCGACCUCGAAGCGAUGAGCGUUGUGAGGACUGGGGGGAUGUCCUAAACCCGAAGAUGGGUUGAAACCCACACCAAGGAGGGUGCCAGUCCCGUAGGGAUGGACACAACCCCAACGACGAGUACCUCUGCUUGAGAGUGUAGAGGGAAGAGGAGGUGGUACCCUUCUAAGGCUAAAUACCGCCCCGAGACCGAUAGAGGACCAAGUAGUGCGAACGAAAGGUGAGAAGGAUGCCGACCCAGGCACGUCAAAAGACCCUGAACCCGGGAGGCGACUCCCGACCUGUCGAUGAUCGAUUGGUCGGGCCCGUCUCGAAACACGGACCGAGGAGUUAGGACCGAUCGCGAGUCAUGUGGCAAAGGGAAGUCAAGACUUCAAGGGGCCCCUUACAAGGGCAGAGCGAUCGGU
rnacentral:rRNA from 1 species